rnacentral:lncRNA from 1 species
CCUUAAAUGUGUGACCAGCCUUUAUGUCCAGCCCUCUGAGAAGGCCUUAAUCUGUUUUCAAUAAGUAUUUUAAACUUUUAAGACAGCUCAGAAUCUGGGAAACCUUAGAAUUGCCCCAUUCUUAACUCAGUGGUUCCUCCUCCUUUGUAUACAAUGAAUGCCUAAGCCUGACACCAUUUGUCUUCUGCAUGUAGUGAUACAUUGUUUCAGGAACUACU